rnacentral:rRNA from 2 species
GUUAUAGGGUCAAGUGACUAAGAGCAUAUGGUGGAUGCCUUGGCGAUUACAGGCGAUGAAAGACGUGAUAGCCUGCGAAAAGCUUCGGGGAGCUGGCAAAUAAGCUUUGAUCCGGAGAUGUCUGAAUGGGGAAACCCACCCGCAAGGGUAUCAACAGCUCAAUACAUAGGCUGUUGAAGCGAACCUGGAGAACUGAAACAUCUAAGUACCCAGANGGAAGAGCCUUCUAGUGAUAGUCGACGAGUUAACAAAACGGCAUGGAAAGGCCGGCCAUAGUAGGUGAUAGCCCUGUAUGUGAAAACUUGUCGGUGGUACUGAGCUAGAGAAAAGUAGGGCGGGACACGUGUAAUCCUGUCUGAAUAUGGGGGGACCAUCCUCCAAGGCUAAAUACUCGUAAUCGACCGAUAGUGAACCAGUACCGUGAGGGAAAGGCGAAAAGAACCCCGGGAGGGGAGUGAAAUAGAUCCUGAAACCGUAUGCUUACAAAAAGUCGGAGCCUCGUAAGGGGUGACGGCGUACCUUUUGUAUAAUGGGUCAGCGACUUACAUUCAGUGGCAAGCUUAACCGAGUAGGGAAGGCGUAGAGAAAUCGAGUCCGAAUAGGGCGUUUUUAGUCGCUGGGUGUAGACCCGAAACCAAGUGAUCUAACCAUGGCCAGGAUGAAGGUGCCGUAACAGGUACUGGAGGUCCGAACCGACUGAUGUUGCAAAAUCAGCGGAUGAGCUGUGGUUAGGGGUGAAAGGCUAAACAAACUUGGAAAUAGCUGGUUCUCUCCGAAAACUAUUUAGGUAGUGCCUCAAGUAUUACCUGCGGGGGUAGAGCACUGUUUUGGCUAGGGGGUCAUGGCGACUUACCAAACCAAGGCAAACUCCGAAUACCGCAGAGUACAGCUUGGGAGACAGAGCACCGGGUGCUAACGUCCGGACUCAAGAGGGAAACAACCCAGACCGCCAGCUAAGGUCCCUAAAAUUGGCUAAGUGGGAAACGAAGUGGGAAGGCUAAAACAGUCAGGAUGUUGGCUUAGAAGCAGCCAUCAUUUAAAGAAAGCGUAAUAGCUCACUGAUCGAGUCGUCCUGCGCGGAAGAUGUAACGGGGCUAAGCCAGUUACCGAAGCUGCGGAUGUGCAAUUUAUUGCACGUGGUAGGAGAGCGUUCUGUAAGCCUGUGAAGGUGUCUGGUAACGGAUGCUGGAGGUAUCAGAAGUGCGAAUGCUGACAUGAGUAGCGUUAAAAGGGGUGAAAAGCCCCUUCGCCGUAAGCGCAAGGUUUCCUACGCAACGUUCAUCGGCGUAGGGUGAGUCGGCCCCUAAGGCGAGGCAGAGAUGCGUAGCUGAUGGGAAACAGGUCAAUAUUCCUGUACCGAUCAAUAGUGCGAUGUGGGGACGGAGAAGGUUAGCUCAGCCACCUGUUGGAAUAGGUGGUUCAAGCGUGUAGUCGUGCCUGGUAGGCAAAUCCGCCGGGCUUAGAUGAGGCGUGAUAACGAGUGUGCUUGCACACGAAGUGAGUGAUACCCUGCUUCCAGGAAAAGCCACUAAGCUUCAGCUAUUGAUUGACCGUACCGCAAACCGACACUGGUGCGCGAGAUGAGUAUUCUAAGGCGCUUGAGAGAACUCUGGAGAAGGAACUCGGCAAAUUGAUACCGUAACUUCGGGAGAAGGUAUGCCCUCGGUAUGUGAAGUUGAACAAACGGAGCAGAAAAGGGUUGCAAAAAAUCGGUGGCUGCAACUGUUUAAUAAAAACACAGCACUCUGCAAACACGAAAGUGGACGUAUAGGGUGUGACGCCUGCCCGGUGCUGGAAGAUUAAAUGAUGGGGUGCAAGCUCUUGAUUGAAGUCCCAGUAAACGGCGGCC